rnacentral:rRNA from 1 species
UAGCCUUGACAUUGAUUGAACACACUAGAGAUAGAGUGGUGCCCUUCGGGGAACAUGAAAACAGGUGCUGCACGGCUGUCGUCAGCUCGUGUCGUGAGAUGUUGGGUUAAGUCCCGCAACGAGCGCAACCCUCGUCCUUAGUUGCUAGCAGUUCGGCUGAGCACUCUAAGGAGACUGCCUUCGUAAGGAGGAGGAAGGUGAGGACGACGUCAAGUCAUCAUGGCCCUUAUGGCUAGGGCUACACACGUGCUACAAUGGGGCGUACAGAGUGUUGCGAUACCGCGAGGUGGAGCUAAUCACUUAAAGCGUCUCUCAGUUCGGAUAGCAGUCUGCAACUCGACUGCUUGAAGCUGGAAUCACUAGUAAUCGUACAUCAGCAAUGCUACGGUGAAUACGUUCCCGGGUCU